AUUGAACGCUGGCGGAAUGCUUUACACAUGCAAGUCGAGCGGCAGCACGGGGGCAACCCUGGUGGCGAGCGGCGAACGGGUGAGUAAUACAUCGGAACAUGCCCAGUCGUGGGGGAUAACACUUCGAAAGAAGUGCUAAUACCGCAUACGUCCUGAGGGAGAAAGCGGGGGAUCGCAAGACCUCGCGCGAUUGGAGUGGCCGAUGUCAGAUUAGCUAGUUGGUGGGGUAAAGGCCUACCAAGGCAACGAUCUGUAGCUGGUCUGAGAGGAUGAUCAGCCACACCGGGACUGAGACACGGCCCAGACUCCUACGGGAGGCAGCAGUGGGGAAUUUUGGACAAUGGGGGCAACCCUGAUCCAGCCAUUCCGCGUGAGUGAAGAAGGCCUUCGGGUUGUAAAGCUCUUUCGGCAGGAACGAAACGGCGAGCUCUAACAUAGCUUGCUAAUGACGGUACCUGAAGAAGAAGCACCGGCUAACUACGUG
rnacentral:rRNA from 1 species